ACCUGGCUCUUCUCUUCCAGUGCAUGUUGGGUAGUGUAGUUUUGUUUACCCAGCAUGCAAUGGAACUGUCUGGUGUAGAAAAAAGCUUCCCUUUACACUUUCAGCAGUUUCAGACUUUCAGACCCAAACUGCACUACAACCUUCUUCCAGCUGCAUUGGAUUUUAUCACCUGCGAAAAUGAUGUGAGUUGUCUGGAAAUAUUCCUGUAUUUAUCAGAGAUUCCUCACAGAUUUCCUUCUAGAGAUGUGUAAAAAGCAUUUACUGGGUUGCAGGACUUUGCCAUAGACUUGCCUUGUGGAUAAAGACUUAUCACCUCACAAAACUGAUGAAAGAACUUAAGAAAUGAAAGAUGAGAAAAGAUGUGGGUGCAGCAGAUGUCAGGGUGCCCAGUGUGUGCCCAGUGUGUGCCCUGCAGGCCUGGAGCAAAGGGAACAGCACCUCUAUGUACAGGAGCAGUGGAAUACAUUUAACAGCAUGGCCAAUGCCCUUGAGAUCUUUACAGUACAGAUAAUAUUGUUACUUUUUUAAUAAAGGUCUGGAAAAGGACUUUUUACCAUCAUAUUUCCUAGCAAACCAGGAAGACCUCACAACAAUUUGGCAGGGUCACCGCCAUUUUGAGUGCACCGGCGCUGUUCCUUUGACUUUGUGAUCCUGUGCCUUGCUAUUAGCUUCUUGGAAAGAUGCAUCUCUUUGAAGCUCCUGGAAGCUACCAUCCUGAAGGCCGUGGGGGCUAGUUGCUAGAGUGUGGCCACCAAGAUAUGCCGAGGGGAGGAUUUUCUAUGUCUGUUUGGGGAAGCUAUUUACAUACCAGUAUAGAUGGCUUAUCUGAAGAAGGCUCUUCUGUGUCACUGGCAAGCGCCCACCUUUGGCUUUUUCCUUGAACACUUUUACUAAUGAGAGUGCCCAGGAAAAAGUGUUUAGAUAACACCACCACCAGGGCAGCCAAUGCCAUUACAGCUGCUUCACAGCACUGACCAUGACAAGGCCAUGGACUCAAGAACAAGGAGUUUUAUCCCUAUGUACCUUCCCUUAUGGCUCAGCAUUGCACAUAACAAAUCAAUAGGUUCAUUUGUCAGGUAUGCCAGUGCCUGUCCCAGCAGGAAGGCUCGGAAAAGACUUUCCCCUGGUGUCUUUAUCAAGGACUUUUGGAAACAUUUUAAUGCCAGGAGUGUUUUCUAAGUGUUUUACAUCCCCUUCCCCUCCCAAGUAGCAGAAAUGAGAGGUUUAUAUUUUGUACAGCGUGGUUUUCUCUCUGUUCUACAUUUUCUUAUGGUUUUGAGUGUGUUGAGUUACAUUUGUUUUGAUUAAGGGUCUCAUAUUGUGUAAAGUGUGGUUUUCUCUCUGUUCUACCUUUUUUCAUGUGUUGAGUUACAUUUUU